GAUCGCAUAGCACCUUCGGUGUUUCCACGUGGCACAGCCCGCGCCCCUCCUUUUCCGCGGGGUGGCUCCGAGGGCAACACUGAGAGAGUGUAAUAUCUGGGUGAGAACUGCGAGUAACGGUUUGCCCGACCCAGAGGUGUCCUCCUCCGGUGCUGGCACUCCCCACCCCCAGCCGGAGGCGAUAGAAAAUGACGUAGGCGCUCUAACCCACGCUCGGAAAGGGUAGACUGAGCCAACGGAGGACCACAUUGUCUAUGAUGUCCCAGGGGACGAGACAGCUGGGAGCCGUGACAGCCAUCCAGCCGGCGCUGAUAGGAAAGACUGUAAAAUGCUGUUCAAGAUCCACGGGUAUGAUUGCACCCCUCACGAAUUGGUCACUGGUUUGAGGAACACUACCUGUCCUAACGGAAUCUUCAAGGCACCCUAGAACUCCUGCUCUCCGUCUCUGGGCCUGAACUUGAAAUGUAAACUCUACAGAGCAAGAAUGGUAAAUGUGCUGUUAAUAAUGUACAUGCAGCUCCUCGAUCAUAGUGCUGAACAUACAGCAAGUACUUCUUGCAUAUCUGCUGAAUAAAUAACAAACCCAACAAAUUGAAACCAUCAAGACCUGCUGAUUUUUAUCUCUUCAAAUCUAGGCCACUUUCUCUAUCUCUUCCUUUCAUCUUUGAUCUGACCCUAUCAGCUUCCAACUGGACACAAUGUUUCCUAAAGGGUCAUUUGUCCUCAUUUCAGUCCAUUCUGCAGCCACCAGAGCCAUCCACCUGAAAUGGGACUCUGACACACUCAUGCCAGGCUGUUGCCUCUAUGUCUUUGGGCAUGUUCUUCCACAUGGAAGGCUUUUUUGUUUCACUGCUUCACCCAGAUAUAACUCCCUAAUUAUCCUUCAGGUCUCUGCCCAGGCAUAAUCUCCUGAAGGAGACUCUUCCCUGAGGCUGGCCCCAGGCUAUGUUAGCACCCCAACUCUGCCACUUAAUUCUGUGUGUGACCUUGGACUAGUUUCUUAACAACUGUGCUGCCAUAUCCCCAUCUGCAAAAUAAAGAUGCACGUAUUAGAGUUAC